ACUCAAAGGAAUAGACGGGGGCCCGCACAAGCAGCGGAGCAUGUGGUUUAAUUCGAAGCAACGCGAAGAACCUUACCUAGACUUGACAUCUCCUGCAUUACUCUUAAUCGAGGAAGUCCCUUCGGGGACAGGAUGACAGGUGGUGCAUGGUUGUCGUCAGCUCGUGUCGUGAGAUGUUGGGUUAAGUCCCGCAACGAGCGCAACCCUUAUUGUUAGUUGCCAUCAUUAAGUUGGGCACUCUAGCGAGACUGCCCGGGUUAACCGGGAGGAAGGUGGGGAUGACGUCAAAUCAUCAUGCCCCUUAUGUCUAGGGCUACACACGUGCUACAAUGGUCGGUACAAUAAGACGCAAGCCCGCGAGGGGGAGCAAAACUGGAAAACCGAUCUCAGUUCGGAUUGUAGGCUGAAACUCGCCUACAUGAAGCUGGAGUUGCUAGUAAUCGCGAAUCAGCAUGUCGCGGUGAAUACGUUCCCGGGCCUUGUACACACCGCCCGU
rnacentral:rRNA from 1 species